ACCUUUUUAUGUUUCUUUUUAGAUAUGAACAGUGAUGGCGCCCAUUUCCCUUCCAAGUUCUUUGGUAGACUGUGGAUUGAAUGAAUCUCCAUCUCCGUCCCCGUCGUGCUGUGCGACACCAAGACUUCUUACUAGAACCACUGAGCCUGCUGCCAUCCUGACGGUUCGUGCACCCGCCUGGAGCACUGCUGACCUUCCCUCCCCAUCAGCCGGACUGGACCAUAGGACAUGAUCCUAGGUGUGUGGAGGCUCCUUAAAUGCAGUGAUCAGGCCACUCUUUGAUAGCAAAACCGCACACUCAGUGACUUUCAACUCCAAAAUGCCCCUCUCGUUUUUGCUCUCCCCGCCCC
rnacentral:lncRNA from 1 species